rnacentral:rRNA from 1 species
UCGAGGAUCUUCCGCAAUGGGCGAAAGCCUGACGGAGCGACACCGCGUACAGGAUGAAGGCCUUCGGGUUGUAAACUGUUGUCACGCUAUAGGAACCCCUUGGUGUUAAUAGCGCCAAGGCUGACUAAAGCGAGAGGAAGCAACGGCUAACUCUGUGCCAGCAGCCGCGGUAAUACAGAGGUGGCAAGCGUUGUUCGGAAUUACUGGGCGUAAAGGGCGCGUAGGCGGCCCUCUAAGUCAGACGUGAAAUCCCCCGGCUUAACCUGGGAACUGCGUCUGAUACUGGAGGGCUUGAGUAUGGGGAGAGGGAUGUAGAAUUCCAGGUGUAGCGGUGAAAUGCGUAGAUAUCAAGAGGAACACCUGAGGUGAAGACGGGUUGCUGGGCUGACACUGACGCUG